AUUCUAGUCAAGCAUAGAAUAUAUCAUAAAUAACAUACAUUAUUUUAAUAUUUAAAAUAAUUGAAUGAGUUAAUAACUAUUAUUCUGCCCAAUUUUAAAAAGAAAGUGAGACUUGUAAAGACAGCUUUUCAGUUAUGUAUUAAGCCAAGACUCUCAGACCUCACUAUGACUUUGGAGACCUUGUAUGUAACAACUAUGCUGAAUUUCUUAAUUAUUCUGAAAGGUCUUAGUAAGUGUAAGGCAGAUCACCAGCUAUCACAAUGCCUCUGAUAUAAUAACCUAGCUAUUUCUUCACAAAUUUCCAAUGUCAUCUUUAUUACAUACAAAAGUCCUAUAUAAAUAUUGACAUGUUUCAGAACUUUCUGAUCUGUUCUACUUAUUUGUCACUUUGUGUUUAAAGUAGUAUUUCAAUCAUAGUAACUUUCUUAAUAUUUUUUCAAAACUUGAAGAAGUCAAAUUUUAAUUAUCUUCUUCAAAAUAUGCAUUAUUCAUUUUACCUGUUUAUUCUGUAAUGUAAACAUUUGUAUUAUUAAACCAGUUACCAUUCCUAAACCUCAUUGAGAUUUUAACUUUAAUUCUGUUACUUUUUUUAGCUUUAUGAAAUUCAUAUACUGUUGAGUUUUCCCUUCCAUGGAUUUAGGACAAAUUAUUUUAGGUUUUGAUAUUAAAAAAAAAAAAAGUUCUCAGAGACCUGUGAAGACACUUAAAUUACCAACAAUAAUAGUAGAAGACUACAACACUUCACUGACAGUAGUAGAUCAUUGAGGCAGAUAACUAACAACUAUUUGGUACU
rnacentral:lncRNA from 13 species